AACGAACGCUGGCGGCGUGGAUAAGACAUGCAAGUCGAACGGGAUUAUUUUUGUAGCAAUACAGAAAUAAUUCAGUGGCGAACGGGUGCGUAACACGUGGGCAAUCUGCCGAAAAGUGGGGGAUAGCUCGCCGAAAGGCGAAUUAAUACCGCAUGUGGUGAGGGACGACAUCUUCCUGAAUCCAAAGCCGGGGGUCAAACCUGGCGCUUUUUGAGGAGCCCGCGGCCUAUCAGCUAGNGGUGAGGUAACGGCCCACCAAGGCUUUGACGGGUAGCUGGUCUGAGAGGACGACCAGUCACACUGGAACUGAGACACGGUCCAGACACCUACGGGUGGCAGCAGUCGAGAAUUUUUCUCAAUGGGGGGCAA
rnacentral:rRNA from 1 species